CACAGCUUCCGUGCCGUAGCCUAUAUAUCAGAAACUGCCCGCAAUAUGGUGGUCCCAUGUGUCAGGCCAAGCAUAAAUAUUUAAACAUCGGUCCUUUAAUUCCAGUAGUCAUAAAUAUGUCAACAUCAAAGCUGCUACAAGUUUCCUGGCUGGCUUUAGCUUUUCUGUGUGUAGCCUCGGAUAAGAAACACAGCCCCUGGUUGGUACAGAGAGAUGGUCGUCUCGAAUCGAUUGAAGGACAGGUCCACGAAAGGAAUAAGGAGCACGUUACCAACUGGACACUGCAAUCAUAUCACCAGAUAAUGUCCUCUUCCCAUCCGCCACGCAGUACGCAGCUAGCCCCUCUCAGAUUCCAGGCACCGCAAGGAAGCGCCGGGCUGACCGUGAAAUGUGGGGAGACGAAAGUCCAAAUCGUCGUGAAUAAGGAAAGUUUCGGAAGAGGCCUCGAUUUCCCCCCAUCUUCGCUCCGGCUGGGCGAUAACCCUAAAUCGGCGGGCACCUGUGCGCCGGUCCCUGAAGACUCGACAUCCUCGGAAAUUGUCAUAACAGCGGGACUGCAUGAUUGUGAUAGCGAAUAUAAGGUGAGCGGUGAUUGGCUGAUUUACUCCAACAAGCUGGUGUUCGCCCCUCCCCCCACCGUCAUCUCCACGGGAAACCUGAUCAUCAGAGGGGCCCGGAUAUUGCUGCCCAUCGAGUGCCACCGGAGGCGGAGGCAGAGAGGGAGGGGGGAGACCGUGCGUCCCACCUGGAAAUCGUUCACCUCCACAGUCAGAGGGGCGGGGCUUCUGCGUUUCUCUCUGCGUGUCAUGACGGAAGACUGGAGUGGUCCCCGCAAUUCCACUGUCUUCCAGCAGGGGGAGCCUGUGAAUCUGGAGGCAGCUGUGGACGGGCAGUGGCACCCACCUCUGCGGAUUUACGUGGACCGCUGUGUUGCCACCCUCAGCUCGGACCCGCUGUCUGAGCCCAGCUACGACAUCAUCUCUAACCAUGGGUGUCUGACCGACAGCCGGUUUUCCGGCUCCUCCUCCCGGUUCUUCCCACGAGGCCGUCGGAACGCCCUGCGCUUCCGCGUCCGGGGGCCGCUCUCCCUCGGGAAUUCCCCGGGGCAGCAGAUAUUUGUGAACUGUCACUUGCGAGCAGCGUUGGCAGAGAGUCCCUCCGACCCACUGAACAAGGCCUGCUUCUUCCACCCCGACUCUGACAGGUCAGGACCCUGCUUUGGCGAGCGGCGGACGGGGAUGGAGCCGUGUGCCGCUGCUGCGAAACGGGCGACUGCUCCAGCUGGAUGCCAGUCGAGGCGGACGGCAUGCCAGAGACGCCCUUGGCAUCAGAGGGGGUGGUGGACACUGCUGUGGGUCCACUCCACGCGCAGCUGCGAUCUGAUUGGCGGGGCCUCCUGUCAAUCAGUGAUGAGCUCCGCCCCCAUUAGCCCCUCCUGCCUGUUCCAGACCAGUCCUGUGGGAGCUGUGGUUGGCCCAGAGUGGGCGGGCACAAGACCGGCGGCCCUCUGAGACACACUGCUGGUGUGCCCGAGUGUGUGUGUGAGGAACAGCGGCUUGACACUCAUUCACAAGCUGUGUGUGUGUGUGUCUGUGUGUGUGUGUGUCAGUUCAUCCUCAUUCAGCAGGCCUUUCACACACUGGCAUACAAGGCAUGUGUGAAUAUUCAGGGCAGUCCAGGUCUCGACACUGUUGCGAAUUGUUGUGAAUCACUAUGAAGGUGCUCGCUAAGCUAAUAAACAUAAACUCAGUCUUCA